UGAAGCAACGAACGUAUUAAAUACCUGGCUAGUGCAGACUUGAUAAGUAUUAAGUGAAAUCUAAAUGAAAGUGAAAAUCGGCGUUCGUGCCGUUGGAGGGAGGAUGAGCCGCGCAACUGAACGGCUCCGCGCUCCCGGGGUGUCUCGUACUCAUUGCGAGGAAAGGCGCACCUAGAGCGUACGCGUCGGGAGAUCCGGGAAGAGUUCUCUUUUCUGUACAAUCGUUCGAGUUCCCUGGACACUUCUAGCAGGGAGAUGGGGUUUGGAACGCGAAGAGCAACUCAGUUGCAGCAGUAUCCGGAUCUUCCCUUCCGACCUUGAAAAUCCAGGAGAGAACCACUUGUAGAUGACGCGCCGGUUCGUACCCAUAUCCGCAGCAGGCCUCCAACGUAAGGAGCCUCUA
rnacentral:rRNA from 13 species